rnacentral:rRNA from 1 species
UACAGAGGGUGCAAGCGUUAAUCGGAAUUACUGGGCGUAAAGCGUGCGUAGACGGUUAUGUAAGUCGGGUGUGAAAGCCCCGGGCUCAACCUGGGAAUGCCAUUCGAGACUGCAUAGCUAGGGUGCGGAAGAGGGAAGCGGAAUUUCCGGUGUAGCGGUGAAAUGCGUAGAGAUUUGGAGGAACACCAGUGGCGAAGGCGACUUUCUGGUCUGUAACUGACACUGAGGCGCGAAAGCGUGGGGAGCGAACAGG